rnacentral:rRNA from 1 species
AACGAACGCUGGCGGCAUGCCUAACACAUGCAAGUCGAACGAGACCUUCGGGUCUAGUGGCGCACGGGUGCGUAACGCGUGGGAACCUGCCCUUAGGUUCGGAAUAACUCCCCGAAAGGGGUGCUAAUACCGGAUAAUGUCUUCGGACCAAAGAUUUAUCACCUUUGGAUGGGCCCGCGUUGGAUUAGCUAGUUGGUAGGGUAAAAGCCUACCAAGGCGACGAUCCAUAGCUGGUCUGAGAGGAUGAUCAGCCACACUGGGACUGAGACACGGCCCAGACUCCUACGGGAGGCAGCAGUGGGGAAUAUUGGACAAUGGGCGAAAGCCUGAUCCAGCAAGGCCGCGUGAGUGAUGAAGGCCUUAGGGUUGUAAAGCUCUUUUACCCGGGAUGAUAAUGACAGUACCGGGAGAAUAAGCUCCGGCUAACUCCGUG